rnacentral:lncRNA from 1 species
UUUAAAAAAAACCCUUACCUGCCAUCUUAGAAUCAGUAUUGUGUAUUGGCUCCAAGGCAGAAGCAUGGUAAGGGUUAGGCAAUGGGGGUCAAGUGACUUGCCCAGGGUCACACAGCUGGGAAGUGUCUGAGGUCAAAUUUGAACCCAGGACCUCCCAUUCUCUUGGCUUGGCUCUCAAUCCACUGAGCCACCCAGCUGCCCCCUCAAAGGAAGUUUUUGACUUGAAGGAAACUUAAGAUGGAUUUCAUUAUCAAAUUCCAGGUAGCAAUCAUAAUAAUCAUUAACAAGUAGAGAGUUCUUACUUUGUUCUAGUUAUCAUGCUAAAAGCUUUUCCAAUAUUGCCUCAUUUAAUCCUCACAAGCACCCUGGGAGAUGGGCGCCAUUGUUGUCUCCUGGUUACAGUUGAGGAAACUAAGACAAAUAGAGGUGAAGUUCACUGAGGUAAAGCCCUGGAUCACACGGUGAGUGCCUGAGGCUGGAGUGGAAAUAACACCUUCCGGACUGCAGGCCCAGCACUCUAUCCAGUGCAUCACUUCGUCGCCCACAGAGUUAGCUUUUGGUCUCCAUUGGUCUCGAAGCGAGCUAGUGCAGCAGUCUCUGGAAAAAGUCUGUAUUCGCUGCCCAGGGACCCGGUCUCUGUACGCUCAGCUCAGCCCAGCCCUGAGCCAGCUUGUGGUGCCAGAGCCCAUCACACUCAGCCAAAUGAGCCUGUUUCCAUCGCCGCGGCCCUUCUGGCUGCCAAAACGAAUGGAGGAACGGGAGGCGCCAGGAAUGAUUCUAGAGAUCAUCUUUCAAGGUGAGACGACAGGCAAGUAUGUAUCCUAUAAAGAAGAAGGUACCCCGGACCUGUGACAAACUUCAAACAAUACCAAAGGAUGGAAGAUAUAUGGACAACUGGAAAGAACUUUGAAUCAAAGACAUUAUGGAAAAUGAACUUCAGGAAAAUGGGUCACAUAAGAUUAAUUGCCAAUCACAUUAACUUCACAUAUAGGGAAGUACAUUCAUAUACACAUUGGAAUAAAUAUGCAUCCACCAUGACA